UUACAGUCGAAAUCCCACAAAAAGUUGUAAAACUGUUGCUCCAUCCUUCUAAUGCAAGCAACUAGCACAAUCAUAUUGGCCAAGAGGUAUACCAAAACAAAACUCAGCAUCGAUCUCACCAAAAUCAUCCUACCCAUGAAGGAUAGGACAUCAGCCUGCCAGCCCUAAAGAUCUCCUAGAUCCAUUGCUCCAGAGGCCUGCACUCAGCCCCCCAA
rnacentral:lncRNA from 1 species